rnacentral:rRNA from 1 species
AUGCUGCCGAACAAGCUCUCAAAGAUCAAGACGGGAUUCUUUGACGUGCGGGCAAAGCCAUCUGGCAAAUUCAAGGCUGCGUUCUCCAACGCCGUCCGCCGCUUCUGGCUCGGCACCUACACCACUGUCGCCAUGGUCGCGCGUGCAUACAACAUGGAAGUGUGGCGGGCCGGGAGGCCGAAGACGGACCUCAACUUCCUGGAGAUUGAGACCGGGGCGGAUGCGGAGUUCCUCGUCCCUGAGGGCAUUAAGACGGACGAGAUAAAGAAGAUGAACAAGAGGCCGGCCAUUGCGUUGGUCCCGGUGAUAGCGACGAGGUCCAUGGCGAUCAGGUCUUUGCUGCUCCCUCUGGCCCUGCUGGCUCUCGCAGCUAGCUCGGCGGCGUUGCCUAACCUAGAGAUCGGCUUCUAUAGCAAGACAUGCCCAGACGCCGAGAAAAUCGUCCGCGAGGAAAUGAUCAAGAUCAUCGCUGCCGCGCCCAGCCUCGCUGGUCCGCUCCUCCGUCUCCAUUUCCACGACUGUUUUGUCAGGGGUUGUGACGCAUCUGUCCUCCUCGAAUCCACCGAAGGCAACGUGGCGGAGAAGGACGCCAAGCCGAACAAGAGCCUGCGAGGGUUUGGCUCGGUGGAGCAGGUGAAGGCCAAGCUCGAGGCUGCGUGCCCGGGCAUCGUCUCCUGCGCCGAUGUGCUCACCCUCAUGUCCCGCGACGCCGUCGUGCUGGCCAUGGGCCCCUUCUGGCCAGUGGCGUUGGGAAGGAGAGACGGAAGGGGCCUGGACCUCAAGGACCUCGUCGUGUUCUCCGGCGCCCACACGCUCGGCACGGCGCACUGCCCGUCAUUCGCUGACCGGCUCUACAACAGCACCGGCGAGAACGAUGCCUAUGGCGUCGUCGACCCGUCUCUGGACAGCGAGUACGCCGACAAGCUAAGGCUCAAGUGCAAGAGCGUUGAUGACCGUACUAUGCUGUCGGAGAUGGACCCUGGGAGCUUCAAGACCUUCGACACCAGCUACUACCGCCACGUCGCCAAGCGGAGGGGCCUCUUCCGCUCCGAUGCCGCGCUCCUCUUCGACAACACCACCAGGGACUACGUCCAGCGCAUCGCCACCGGCAAGUUCGACGGCGAGUUCUUUAAGGACUUCAGCGCGUCCAUGAUCAAGAUGGGCGACGUGGGUGUGCUCACCGGAGCCGAGGGAGAGAUCAGGAAGAAGUGCUACGCCCCCAACUAG